rnacentral:rRNA from 1 species
UUAGAGUCACUUAUUCAUGAAUACAUAGUGAAUGAGAGUUAACCUAGUGAAUUGAAAUAUCUUAGUAGCUAGAGGAAAAGAAAUCUAUUCCGUUAGUAGUGACGAGCGAACGCGGACCAGGCCAGUAGCAAAAAUAUAAUAACUAGAACUUUCUGGAAAGUUAGACCAAAGUGGGUGAUAGUCCCGUAUAGGUAAAAAAUAUUAUUGUUCUCGAGUAGGGCGGAACACGUGAAAUUUUGUCUGAACAUGGGGAGACCACUUCCCAAGCCUAAAUACUCCUUAAUGACCGAUAGUGAACAAGUACCGUGAGGGAAAGAUGAAAAGCACCCCGAUAGGGGGAAUGAAAUAGUAUCUGAAACCGAAUGCCUACAAGCAGUCAGAGCUCCUUUAUGGAGUGAUGGCAUACCUUUUGUAUAAUGGGUCAGCGACUUAGUCUGUGCAGCAAGCUUAAGCCAACAGGUGUAGGCGCAGGGAAACCAAGUCUUAAUAGGGCGAUUAGUUGUACGGAUUAGACUCGAAGCGGGAUGAGCUUAUUAUGAGCAGGUUGAAGAUGUAGUAACAUACAUCGGAGGACCGAACCAGGGAACGUUGAAAAGUUCUUGGAUGACUUGUGAUAAGGGGUGAAAGGCCAACCAAAUUCCGCUAUAGCUAGUUCUCCGCGAAAACUAUUUAGGUAGUGCGUUGUGUUAAUGUUGUUAGGGGUAGAGCACUAGAUGGGCUAGGGGGAAGCGAUUCCUACCAAACCUAACUAAACUCCGAAUACUAGCAAUUUCUGCACAGCAGACAGACUAUAGGUGCUAAGGUCUAUAGUCGAGAGGGAAACAGCCCAGAUCACCAGUUAAGGCCCCCAAAUAAUGGCUAAGUGGGAAAGUAUGUAGAAAGUUCAAGACAGGCAGGAGGUUGGCUUAGAAGCAGCCAUCCUUUAAAGAUAGCGUAACAGCUCACUGUUCUAAUCAAGACUUUCCGCGACGAAGAUGUAACGGGGCUCAAGCCAUAUGCCGAAACUGUGACUUUGUAAGUAUUGAGAUACUUACAAGGGGUAGCGGAGCGUUCUGUAAGCCGUUGAAGGUAUCUCGAAAGGGGUGCUGGAGGUAUCAGAAGUGCGAAUGCUGACAUGAGUAGCGAUAAAGAGUGUGAGAGACACUCUCGCCGAAAUCCUAAGGUUUCCUGCGUAAAGCUAAUCUGCGCAGGGUUAGUCGACCCCUAAGGCGAGGCAGAAAUGCGUAGUCGAUGGGAAACAGGUUAAUAUUCCUGUACCUGCUGUGAGUUGACGGAUCACGUAAAUUGUAUUUUCUUAUUGGAUUGAGAAUGCAGUGAAGUGGUUCCUGGAAAUAGCCACAGCAUAUAGAUCGUACCAUAAACCGACACAGGUAGGAAGGUAGAAAAUACCAAGGCGCUUGAGAGAAUGAUGUUGAAGGAACUCGGCAAAAUGCCCUUGUAACUUCGGAAUAAAAGGGACCAAUUUUUAGGCAACUAGAGAUUGGUGGCACAGAAUAGGGAGAAGCGACUGUUUAUCAAAAACACAGGUCUCUGCUAAGUCGUAAGACGAUGUAUAGGGACUGACGCCUGCCCGGUGCCGGAAGGUUAAAUGGUGGAGUGCAAGCUCUGAAAUGAAGCCCCGGUGAACGGCGGCCGUAACUAUAACGGUCCUAAGGUAGCGAAAUUCCUUGUCAGGUAAGUUCUGACCCGCAUGAAUGGCGUAACGAUUUCUCCGCUGUCUCCAACAUCAACUCAGCGAAAUUGAAUUCUCCGUGAAGAUGCGGAGUUCGCGUAGUUAGACGGAAAGACCCCGUGCACCUUUACUAUAGCUUUGCAGUGGUAUUAGGAAAAUAAUGUGUAGGCUAGGUGGUAGACUUUGAAGCAGGAGCGCUAGCUCUUGUGGAGUCAAAAGAUGAAACACCACCCUUUGUUUUUUUGAUAUCUAACCAACAUCCAUUAUCUGGAUGUGGGACCCUGUAUGGUGGGUAGUUUGACUGGGGCGGUCUCCUCCUAAAGAGUAACGGAGGCGCGCGAUGGUAGGCUCAGGCUGGUCGGAAAUCAGCUGUAGAGUGCAAUGGCAUAAGCCUGCCUGACUGCGAGACGUACAUGUCGAGCAGAGUCGAAAGACGGUCAUAGUGAUCCGGUGGUUCCAAGUGGAAGGGCCAUCNNNNNGCAGGUCCCAAGGGUUUGGCUGUUCGCCAAUUAAAGUGGUACGUGAGCUGGGUUCAGAACGUCGUGAGACAGUUCGGUCCCUAUCUGCUAUACGAGUUGGAAAUUUGACAGGAUUUGUCCCUAGUACGAGAGGACCGGGAUGAACGUACCACUGGUGUACCAGUUGUUCCGCCAGGAGCAUCGCUGGGUAGCUAUGUACGGACAGGAUAACCGCUGAAAGCAUCUAAGCGGGAAACCCACCUGAAUACUGGAUUUCCCCAUCAGAGUCGUGGAAGACCACCACGUUGA